CCCGCUCACAUUUCAAAUUGGGAGUCCUUUCGUUGGCAGGCACUGCCAUUGUUCCAAGCGCUAAAAUUGGCAGGAACACUCGGUGUGAUCCAAUCGCCCAAUAAACUAAAGCCCAGCCCAUUACUCUGCGAAACAGGACCUGACCAAAGCCCGCUGCGCCCUCGUCGGCGGCCAACCGCCACGCACGGCCGCACUUCACGGUUUCCACGGGACCACGGCCCGUCUCCCUCCUCUCCGACGGUCCGACCCCGACCACUGACGCUCGGCGCGCGCCAUGGAGCCGGACGCCGACGAGGACUACAUGGGCGACCUCUCCCGCUUCCUCCCGCCGAGUCCGUCCUCCUCCCCACCGAAGAACCUCGGGCGCCGGAAGCAGCCACCCACGCAAGCGCAGGCGCAGGCGCAGGCGCGGGCGAAGCGCGGGAAAGGCGUGCCGUGGCAGGAGCGACGGCGGCAGGAGCGCGAGCGAAAGCAGCGGGAGGAGGACGCCCGCACGAUGGCCGGGCUCGCGGAAGCCAUCCCGGAGAGCAACGUAGGGUUCAGGAUGUUGAGGCAGAUGGGGUACGAUCCCAAGUCCCGCGGCGCCGCCGCCGAGCCGGUCGGCAUCGAGAUCCGCCGCUCGCGGGCGGGGCUCGGGGCGGAGGAGCCCGCGUUGGCGCCGGCGACGACGCCUGCGCCGGUGGAGAAGUCACGGGAGGUGGCGGAGCGGGAGCGGAGGCAGCAGGAGGAGAUGGCGGUAGAGCUAAGGGCACGGAAGAGCACGCAGUGGAAGGGCCGGAGGGUGGUUUGGGACUACCGCAAGGCCGUGAGGGCGCUCGCGCAGCUGGAGAACCAGGAGGUGGAGCCACCGGCACCGGAGGGGGAGGAGAAAGAGAAAGGGGCAGAGGAGGAAGAGGAGGUGAUCACUGAAGAGGAUUUGCAGAACAUACUGUCUAAGUUGCGUGGCCAGUACCAGUAUUGCCUUUAUUGUGGAUGCAAGUAUGAAUCACCAGAAGCGCUCGCAAAGGAAUGCCCCGGCCCUGAUGAGGAUGAUCAUUGAUUUGUUGUGUGAAGGUGACAAAGAAUUGUCUUUGAUCCAAACAGGUGGUUUGGUGCUUCUAGACUUCCCAAGUCACUAGGAUGAUUAGGGUAUUGGGACCCUUUCACAUUUCCUUAGGGACAUUUCUGCUGGUGCUGCCUAACCAGCUUGAGAAGCUUGUUGCAGUGAUAAAUAUCUCAACAUGAAAACUGAAUUGUAUUUGUUCUUCGUCAGUCUGGAAAGAUAGGGGUGGGACGGAAAGCCACAAGGAGUCUCUGCAUAUGAUAUGCAGCAAAACUGAAGCGGAGCUACAUCUUCAGAAGUCCCUCAUCAAGGCACCAAGGCACUUCAGAGCCAGAAGAGAAUAGUUGCUGCCGGUGGUGAAUAAGGAAACUGUGAUUUUGACCUGUGAUAAGUGGAUGACACUUUUGUAUCUGCUUUCCAACUGAGUGAGAGAGAGGGGGUUAUAUUUGUGGACAUCUGCUCGAUUUUGUAGUCAGAAAAGUCAAAGUCUAUUUUAUGAAACUUCCACUGUGCAAUGCUGGAAUAGAAUAUCUGUACAUUGCUGUCAGUCUUGUGUGUCGUCUAAGGAUCCAUCAUUGCUGAAGAAAUGCCUGGAAAGGGCCAUGAUCACUGUUGAACAUCACAGAAGGGCAUAAUGAAGCAUCAGUUUUCCAACAGAACAAGGGGUUAUAUUUUUGGACAUCUGCUCGAGUUUGUAGUUGAGACUCGUGAAUGCCCAGCCCUACUUUCUCGAGCAUCUACAGUGUGAUGAUAAAAUCUCUGUACUGUAUGUCGUCUAAGGAUCCAUGAUCACCGAUGAUAAGCCUGGAAUGAUCGCUGUUCAUUGUCGCAGGAGCUACAUAGUCCCAUAUGGCUACAGGCUACCGCAUUUGAGGUCGAUGCAGUGUUUCA